UACGUAGGGCGCAAGCGUUAUCCGGAAUUAUUGGGCGUAAAGAGCUCGUAGGCGGUUUUGUCGCGUCUGCCGUGAAAGUCCGGGGCUCAACUCCGGAUCUGCGGUGGGUACGGGCAGACUAGAGUGAUGUAGGGGGAGACUGGAAUUCCUGGUGUAGCGGUGAAAUGCGCAGAUAUCAGGAGGAACACCGAUGGCGAAGGCAGGUCUCUGGGCAUUAACUGACGCUGAGGAGCGAAAAGCAUGGGGGAGCGAACAGG
rnacentral:rRNA from 1 species